UAACUCCGUGCCAGCAGCCGCGGUAAUACGGAGGGUGCGAGCGUUAAUCGGAAUUACUGGGCGUAAAGCGCACGCAGGCGGUUUGUUAAGCUAGAUGUGAAAGCCCCGGGCUCAACCUGGGAUGGUCAUUUAGAACUGGCAGACUAGAGUCUUGGAGAGGGGAGUGGAAUUCCAGGUGUAGCGGUGAAAUGCGUAGAUAUCUGGAGGAACAUCAGUGGCGAAGGCGACUCCCUGGCCAAAGACUGACGCUCAUGUGCGAAAGUGUGGGUAGCGAACAGGAUUAGAUACCCUGGUAGUCCACACCGUAAACGCUGUCUACUAGCUGUGUGUGCCUUUAAGGCGUGCGUAGCGAAGCUAACGCGCUAAGUAGACCGCCUGGGGAGUACGGCCGCAAGGUUAA
rnacentral:rRNA from 1 species